AGUAGCGGUGAAAUGCGUAGAUAUCUGGAGGAAUACCAAAGGCGAAGGCAGUCCCCUGGUCCGAUACUGACACUGAGGUACGAAAGCGUGGGGAGCAAACAGGAUUAGAUACCCUGGUAGUCCACGCCCUAAACGAUGUCGAUUAGCCAUUGGAAGGACCCCUUUUCCUUUCAGUGACGUAGCUAACGCGUUAAAUCGACCGCCUGGGAAGUACGACCGCAAGGGUUAAAACUCAAAGGAAUUGACGGGGACCUGAACAAGCGGUGAAUGAUGUGGAUUAAUUCGAUGCUACGCGAAGAACCUUUACCUACCUUUGACAUGGCCAAAGUUCUACCGAGAGGCGGAAGUACUCGUAAGAGGAUUGGCGCACAGGUGCUGCAUGGUUGUCGUCAGUUCGUGUCGUGAGAUGUUGGGUUCAGUCCCGCAACGAACGCAACCCUUAUCUUUAAUUGCUCCUAUUUUAACAGGCACUUUAAAGAAACUGCCAAUGAUAAGUUGGAGGAAGGUGGGGAUCACGUCAAGUCCGCAUGGCCUUUAUAGGUAGGGCUUCACACGUCAUACAAUGGUUAGAACAAAGAGCUGCAAAUUCGUAAGAAGGAGCCAAUCUCACAAACCUAACCUCAGUUCGAAUUGCGGUCUGCAACUCGAGCGCAUGAAGCCGGAAUCGCUAGUAAUCGUGGAUCAGAAUGCCA
rnacentral:rRNA from 1 species